CUAAACAAACGGAAAAGUUGAGUAGACGGCAGAAGCUCUCAGAGAGUCUCAGGUAGGUGCGAUGAGAUGAGUUGACGCUGCCGAAGAUGGACUUGGAGUUUUUCAUCAGUGAAUAAUUAGCUGGUGACGGAUUUACCACCGAUAUCAAGGUCAAGUUAUUGAUUGAUAACUUGUAAGAUAAUGGUCGUGAGACGAUUAUGAACUAAGGUGGUACCGCGAAAGCAUUCGUCCUUUGA
rnacentral:ncRNA from 1 species